AUUAUGUUAAGGUGCAUAUAAUGGUCUCAAUUUUGCUCCAAUCUGUAAAAUGGGAAAAUUAUAUCAGCCUACACGUGUUUUGUGUGGAAAGAAAGGGUUAACAUGUAGUAGAUUGUUGGCACUCAAGAAAUAUUUUCCUUUCCAACGUUUUCAUAACUUUGGAUAGUUCCCAACUCUGUAUUUUCAGCCUUCAUUUUCAAUAAAUGUUGCUCAAUAAAAAUUAAUAGCAUCUUAAAGCUUCAACUUCAUGUUAGUAUGGGUCUCAAAGACGUCCUGUCACUCUCUCUUUGACGUCUUCUCAAUGACCUACAAGACAUCUCUAUUAGAUUGUCUAAUCAUCUAUGUUAAAAUAAACAUUGCUAAACAAACUCACAAUUUUACUUACUCAGGAACACUUUCUUUUCUAAUUCUAUAAUUUAAAAAAAACAGAAUUACUUGCACAGCCACAUAAACUUGUGAAACCUGCUCAGUGAAGGAGAGACUUCGUUGAAGAGUAUUGAAUUUGGUGAUGUGUAAGAGACCUGGGAAGUAGAGUGCCAAUGGAAGUGAAUGGUUUGGAAGACUAAAAAGGGCUCUAGAUGCUCCUUUUCUAUACAGCGUCCUGAUAAUCUUAACAGAUUCAACAACCUCCCAAGAGAAAUAAUUCCUGUAGAGUCUAUAGCAUAUCAUUAAAUAAGAGAAACAACUAGUUUUCAAAAGUUCAAUGGUGUUCAAAACAGGAUGCUGCUUUGUUUGUUUGUUUCAUAGUAUUUUGUAUUUCAUAGAAAGAAGGAAAAACUAAACUAAAAUCUGUAAUAUCAUUAUUGAUAAUACACAUAUUGUCUCUUUGUAUAUUUUUCCAAGUUGUCUAGUAAGUAAAAUGACACUGGGAUUUU
rnacentral:lncRNA from 1 species